AGAGUUUGAUCCUGGCUCAGAGCGAACGCUGGCGGCAGGCUUAACACAUGCAAGUCGAACGGGCGUAGCAAUACGUCAGUGGCAGACGGGUGAGUAACACGUGGGAACGUACCCUUCGGUUCGGAACAACCCAGGGAAACUUGGGCUAAUACCGGAUACGUCCGCAAGGAGAAAGAUUUAUCGCCGAAGGAUCGGCCCGCGUCUGAUUAGCUUGUUGGUGAGGUAAUGGCUCACCAAGGCGACGAUCAGUAGCUGGUCUGAGAGGAUGAUCAGCCACACUGGGACUGAGACACGGCCCAGACUCCUACGGGAGGCAGCAGUGGGGAAUAUUGGACAAUGGGCGAAAGCCUGAUCCAGCCAUGCCGCGUGAGUGAUGAAGGCCUUAGGGUUGUAAAGCUCUUUCGGCGGGGAAGAUAAUGACGGUACCCGCAGAAGAAGCCCCGGCUAACUUCGUGCCAGCAGCCGCGGUAAUACGAAGGGGGUUAGCGUUGCUCGGAAUCACUGGGCGUAAAGCGCACGUAGGCGGAUUGUUAAGUCAGGGGUGAAAUCCUGGAGCUCAACUCCAGAACUGCCUUUGAUACUGGCGAUCUUGAGUCCGGGAGAGGUGAGUGGAAUUGCGAGUGUAGAGGUGAAAUUCGUAGAUAUUCGCAAGAACACCAGUGGCGAAGGCGGCUCACUGGCCCGGUACUGACGCUGAGGUGCGAAAGCGUGGGGAGCAAACAGGAUUAGAUACCCUAGUAGUCC
rnacentral:rRNA from 1 species